rnacentral:lncRNA from 1 species
ACCAGAAAAGAUAUAAACAUAAUCUUUGGGAUUCAACUUGUAAGGAUGUUCCAAGAACCACUUAGUUGGAGAAGGAAAACUGUGCCGUUCAUUAACAAGUCCUGUGCUUUAUAAUAUAUUAAAAAAUGGAAGGACGUGAAGAAAACAGGUUUGUAAAUGAUGUUGUACAUCAUGCAGAUAGCUCAGAAGAAGAAGCAGGAAUGUUUGACUGGAAAUAUAAACGAUGUUGUACAUAAUGCAGAUAGCUUAGGCAAAAAAGAGAUUGGUGAAAUGGAGAAUGAGACUAACUAGGGU